rnacentral:SRP_RNA from 8 species
UGUUGGUUCUCCCGCAACGCUACUCUGUUUACCAGGUCAGGUCCGGAAGGAAGCAGCCAAAGCAGAUGACGCGUGUGCCGGGAUGUAGCUGGCAGGG